ensembl:lncRNA
AAGUGUUUUGGGUUGGUAAUGUAUUUCUUUCAGAACGUGGUCUGGAUCUGUCUGUCUUUUCUUUCCUGUCCUCCAAGGUGUGUUAAGACAUCUGCUGUCAGUAUCAGAGUGACCUGAAACGUGGCAAGUUCUAGAAGUCUGUCGCUGUGCUGUGCUGUGCUGUAAAGUCUGAAGCUGCUGUGUGGUGCUGAGGUUCUCUUCUGAUCCUGUCUGUUCGGGGUCCGUGAGCAAGCGACAUCUUAGCUGCUGCUCCAAGUGGCUGCCCGUAUCCUUGUAUUUUUGUCAGUCUUUGCCCAUGUUUGUCUCUCUAAAGAACCAGCUUUUGGUUAUUUUUUCUCUAUUGUUUUUCUGUUUCAAAUUCCGUUGGUUCCUGGUUUUACUUUUAUUAUUCGCUUCCUUCUCUCUGCUUUGAAAUUAUUAUACCCCCCCCUUUUUUUUCCUGGAAGUUUUAAGAUUAAAGUUUAGAUUAUUUAUUUGAAUUUUUUCUUCUUUUCCAAGCACACAGUUAAUUCUGUAAAUCUCCCUUUCAACACUCCUUUAUCUGCAUUCCACAAAUCCGAUACGUUUGUUUUCCUUUUUUCUCAGCUUGGAAUAUCGUCUGCUCUCUCCAGAAAUGGAUGUUUUACAGUGUUUGGGCAGAUAACCGUAUCAGUGCCCACUGGCUCCAUCUGAUUGAAGCGGUGCUGGGAAGAUCUUUACAUGGGGCUUUCUCCCCGCUCCUUCUAGCUGCAUCAAUGGGACAUUUCAUUGCAGCACUCAACAUUCUAUCAGAAGUGAAAGCCCCAUACAGCAAAACUCACAGUGGGCGCAGAGUUGGGUGUGAGACCGCCGGUAGCUUCCUGGGCUUCCCUGUGUGCAUCGCUGCCUCGUCUCGCCAAUAAGAACACAUGAGCUCUGUGCACUGUGAAGGGAGGCACACGGGGCCCUCUCUCCCCGGCUCCUCCGGUGGGCGUCCUUGGGACCAGUCCUUCCCAUCCCUUGAACUGAGCGACCCUGAGUCUUACACCACUUCAGCAACUCCAAACUCAAGGGCUUGAAGGGUUCAAUGUCAAGUUGCUGACAGCCGGUCAGUGGAAGGCACCAGGACUGCCACACAGAGGGUGACAUCAGCAAGCCUCACCAUGGAGACAGGGAGAUCCUGGGGUUGACAUGAGCCAUCGCUGCCAAUCAUUUGUUUGCCCACCACUCGUCUGCUACCAUCACACCCUAAUUCCUAUUCCUUUCUUUAAAAAGUUCUCUUUUAGAUCAAUUACGAACGAGGGAAGCAAAAGAUUGUAUUUUGUCUUCAUGUAUUCCUACUGCGACUUUCUUCCUUUUUAAUAGAUUUGCUUAUUGAUUGAUUGACUUGAAAGGCAGAACAGCAAACAGCAAUGUGGGAUGCCAGAGUUGGAAGCAGCAGCCUCAUCCUCCGUGCCGCAACGCUCGCUCUGUGUCUUCCAUUCUCUAUGUGUGCAUCAGAGUUUCUCUUCUGUGUCCCUUCACCCAAAGGACUUUUUAAAGAUUUCUCUUUAGAACAGCCCUGCCAGUGAUAAAGUCUUCACUUCACCUUUUGUUUAACUUGCAAAGUGUUUAUUUCUCCUUAACUUUAAAGGGAUCCCUUUGCUGGAUGUCAGUGGUGAGAGCCAGAUUUCUCAUUGUCGCAGUGAGAGUUUGCAAAUAAGCAAGAGAAAGAGCUAAACUGUGGGGCUGAUGCUAUGGCGUAGCAGGUAAAUCCGCUGCCUGCAGUGCCCGCAUCCCAUAAGGGCACUGGUUCUAGUCUUGGCUGCUCCACUUUGAUCCAGCUCUCUGCUAUGGCCUGGGAAAGCAGUGGAGGACGGCUCAAGCGCUUGGGCCCCUGCACCCACAUGGGAGACCCAAAGGAAGCUCCUGGCUCCUGGCUUUGGAUUGGCACAGCUCCAGCCAAUGCAGGCAACUGGGGAGUGAACCACUGGAUGGAAGACCUCUCUCUUUCUCUCUCUCUCUUUCUCUCUCUGCCUCUCCUCUCUCUGUGUAGCUCUGACUUUCAAAUAAAUUAAUUAAUUAAAAAAAAAACUGUGGAAAG